rnacentral:antisense_RNA from 1 species
UCUAGCUAUGUUUUUGCUCACCGAAGCUACAUACACAUAGGAAUUGAUUCCACAGCCAUGGAAUUGAGAAAAACCAGGAAGUGAUGCUGAAAAAAUAAAUGAAACUAUGAUCCAUGAUCUGUUGCUCUAAAUGCCGUUUCUCCCGGAGAACCUUAAAGAUAAAUAUGCAACCCUUUACAUUCUCCAGUGAUGUCAACAGCCUAAGUUGAAUUUCAAAUUACAUCGAGUCAAUGAAAAGGUGAACGGAUUUUUACAGCAACUCAGAUUCACAGAAUCAAAUCGCCUUUAUUCUUAUUUUAAGGAACAUGACUGAUAACCUGUGCAGAAAAUAAAAAAAUACUAACUAUAGCAAUCACAGCAUAUGUUUAACCUAACAACUGAAAAUAUAUAACUGAAAAUUACAAUAAAAA